CGGAAGAGCCUUCUGAACCAUGGAGGAUGAAAUCAGUUUCUGAUUGGUGGGCGGGUGAAGAUUAGAGAGGAGUGGUGAUGGCUGAAAGAUUUAUGCAGUUCACUAUUUGGAAAAUGAAAAUGUCAGACAUUUCAGAGGAUUUGCACCUGGUAUUUUCUAGAACAGGAGUUCAACUUUAAAAAAGUACUGUGCUGAAAUAGCUCUUUCUGCACUGAUUUUUAAGAUGAAGGCACCUACUUGUUCUUGAUAUUGGUCAUUUAACAUCCCCCAACUAAAGAGGAAAUUCCCCUAUAUGGGAGAAGGUCUUCUAGGGCAAGAUAAUCCAUAUUUUGUUUUCUUCUUCCCUCAUGUUUUCUAUCCCUUUUUGAUUAGAAAGUCCAUGUAGGCGCUGAGAAAAUAUAUUCAGCUAAUUAUGAUGAUUUUCUAUGUGCUUUUGAACCAUAGCAAAAAAUAGCAUUUUUAAGUUUAUUUUCCUGUGAAGACUGUGGCAUUAAAAUUCUCUGGUACUUUUUUUAA